UACGUAGGGAGCGAGCGUUGUCCGGAAUUACUGGGCGUAAAGGGUGCGUAGGCGGCAUGGCAAGUCAGAUGUGAAAUCCCCGGGCUUAACUCGGGUGCUGCAUUUGAAACUGCUGUGCUUGAGUGCAGGAGAGGAAAGCGGAAUUCCUAGUGUAGCGGUGAAAUGCGUAGAUAUUAGGAGGAACACCAGUGGCGAAGGCGGCUUUCUGGACUGUAACUGACGCUGAGGCACGAAAGCGUGGGGAGCAAACAGG
rnacentral:rRNA from 2 species